CCGCCCAUAGCGAAGGUGGUGAUGGGGAUCAGGGGCUUUGUGUUGGGCUUGAUCUUCCUGGAACUGGGGCGUGGCUUCUACCUGCGGAAGAAGAGUUCCUGAGCCAGCAGCAGCUGAAGCCCCACCCCGUGACCUCAGGCCCGGCCAGGACCCCCCACUCUUUCCGCACGUUUAUUUUGGAGGGCGGCGGUGUGUUCCUCCCAGCCCUGCUAUAGCUCUGCCCCUGCCCGGCUGCUCCCAGCGUUCCCAAUAAACCUUCCCAGGACCACCAGGAGCACGGAUCACCAGGGCUGUGCCCAACGGGGGUCACUGGGGAUCAUCCAAGGCUGAUCCUUCACACAACGGCCAGAGCUGAACUCACUUUACCAUUACGAUCCUGUGCCCAGAGUGGGUCACAACCCGGGAACAGGAGGCCUUAGAUGUGGCUCGAGCUGUGGCUCCAUGGCCUUUUGGCUGUCAGAUUGCAUUCGAAGGAGGCAAGGAG